UACGUAGGGUGCAAGCGUUGUCCGGAAUUAUUGGGCGUAAAGAGCUCGUAGGCGGUCUGUCGCGUCGGCUGUGAAAACUCGGGGCUCAACUCCGAGCUUGCAGUCGAUACGGGCAGGCUAGAGUUCGGCAGGGGAGACUGGAAUUCCUGGUGUAGCGGUGAAAUGCGCAGAUAUCUGGAGGAACACCGGUGGCGAAGGCGGCAUCCUGGACCAACACUGACGCUGAGGAGCGAAAGCCAGGGGAGCAAACGGG
rnacentral:rRNA from 1 species